rnacentral:rRNA from 1 species
UGNGCGGCUAGAGAUCGGUAGACUNAGGAGUACGCCGGAGGUAANCGGUUAAAUGUGUNAUUUUUCGGUGGACUAACAAUGAGCGAAGGCACCUUACGAGGACGAAUCUGACAGUGAGGGAUGAAGGCCAGGGGCGCAAAACGGAUUAGAUACCCCGUGUAGUCCUGGCAGUAAACACUGCUCACUAAACAUCGGGCCCUCUUCGGGAGGAUUCGGUGCUGAAGCGAAGGCGAAGAGUGAGCUACCUGGGAAGUAUAGUCGCAAGAUCGAAACUUAAAGGAAUUGGCGGGGAGACAUACAACGAGUGACGCGUGCGGUUCAAUCAGAUUUUACACCGUGAACCUCACCAGGAGCGACAGCAGGAUGAAGGUCAGUCUAAAGGGCUUACCUGACACGCUGAGCGGAGCUGCAUGGCCGACGUCAGCCUGUGCUGUGAAGUGACCUGUUAAAUCAGGUAACAGGCGAGACCCGUGUCGAUAAUUACUACAGAAAUGGGUACCUUAUCGAGACUGCCUUGGUAACAAGGAGGAAGGUGCGGGCUACGUUAGGUGGUACAGCCCUAAUCCCCUGGGCUACACGCGCGCGGCAAUGGUAUGUUCAAUGAGAUGCAACUCCGAGAGGAGAAGCUAAUCCCUUAACGCAUAUCUCAGUUCAGAUUGAGGGUUGCAACCCACCCUCAUGACGCUGGAAUUCGUAGUAAUCGGAUAUUAGCACUGUCCGGUGAAUAAGUCCCUGUCUCU